UUACUGUACUACCUAUAACCUUUUCAGAGAAGCGAGGCCACAUGAGGAUAAGCUAAGCAAACUGUUGGUGAGGUAUGCCCAAUCAUUGAGGCAGUCAAAGUAGGCAAAUCCGCUUUGAUAAUGCUGGGAUGUGCUGGGGCGCGAAAUUUAGUAGCGAAGUAGCUGCUUUCACACUGUCAAGAAAAGUCUCUAUCGAGGUUAAAGGUACCCGUACCGCAAACCGACACCGGUGGGUGAGGAGAGUAUCCUAAGGCCAGCGAGAGAACUGUUGUUAAGGAACUCGGCAAAAUUACCCCGUAACUUAGGGAUAAGGGGUGCCACCAUCCGGUGGCCGCCGCGAAUAGGCCUAAGCGACUGUGUACCAAACACAUCGGUUUCGGCUCAGCCGCUAUCCACGUGAUGGGAACUGAUGUCUUCCGUGUGCUGGCAGGUUUCGGGGCUC
rnacentral:rRNA from 1 species